AGGGGAAACGGCAUUAUGUGCUUGCACAUUUUGGACGUCGACCGGCGCACGGGUGAGUAUCGCGUAUCCAACCUUCCCUCCACUCGGGGAUACCCCGUUGAAAGACGGCCUAAUACCCGAUGUUGUCCACAUAUGGCAUCUGACGUGGACCAAAGAUUCAUCGGUGGAGGAUGGGGAUGCGUCUGAUUAGCUUGUUGGUGCGGGUAACGGCCCACCAAGGCGACGAUCAGUAGGGGUUCUGAGAGGAAGGUCCCCCACAUUGGAACUGAGACAUGGUCCAAACUCCUACGGGAGGCAGCAGUGAGGAAUAUUGGUCAAUGGACGUAAGUCUGAACCAGCCAAGUAGCGUGCAGGAUUGACGGCCCUAUGGGUUGUAAACUGCUUUUGUUGGGGAGUAAAGUGAGGCACGUGUGCCUUUUUGCAUUUACCCUUCGAAUAAGGACCGGCUAAUUCCGUGCCAGCAGCCGCGGUAAUACGGAAGGUCCAGGCGUUAUCCGGAUUUAUUGGGUUUAAAGGGAGUGUAGGCGGUCUGUUAAGCGUGUUGUGAAAUUUAGGUGCUCAACAUCUACCUUGCAGCGCGAACUGGCGGACUUGAGUGCACGCAACGUAUGCGGAAUUCAUGGUGUAGCGGUGAAAUGCUUAGAUAUCAUGACGAACUCCGAUUGCGAAGGCAGCGUACGGGAGUGUUACUGAC
rnacentral:rRNA from 1 species